UACGUAGGGUGCAAGCGUUGUCCGGAAUUAUUGGGCGUAAAGAGCUCGUAGGCGGUUUGUCGCGUCUGCUGUGAAAACUCAGGGCUUAACCCUGAGCCUGCAGUGGGUACGGGCAGACUAGAGUGUGGUAGGGGAGAUCGGAAUUCCUGGUGUAGCGGUGGAAUGCGCAGAUAUCAGGAGGAACACCGGUGGCGAAGGCGGAUCUCUGGGCCAUAACUGACGCUGAUGCGCGACAGCGUGGGGAGCAAACAGG
rnacentral:rRNA from 1 species